GAGGCGAAGAACAGAGAAGAAAAAUGGCUUGCUUAAGGUUUAACGGUGAAGAGUUGUGGCUGGAAGAAAUGGUCAGGACGGUCCAGACCAGACGAACAACGCUGAUCAGAGAAGAUGUCACAUAGAGGUGCCCCGAGCCGAAAAAGGUUGGGAAACACUGGUAUACAGGAUUUGGUCAGUAACAGUAUGAUGGUAAUAUGUAUGGUGAUAAUAUUCCUCCUUGUAUACUGGUAUUAUUGUGAAUAUUGGUCAGUAUACAGGAUUUGGCCAGUAACCGUAUGAUGGUAAUAUGCAUGGUGAUAAUAUUCCUCCUUGUAUACUGGUAUUAUUGUGAAUAUUGGUCAGUAUACAGGAUUUGGCCAGUAACCGUAUGAUGGUAAUAUGUAUGGUGAUAAUAUUCCUCCUUGUAUACCGGUAUUAUUGUCAAUAUCAGUCUAAGUA